rfam:Schistosoma haematobium scaffold569_16, whole genome shotgun sequence.
UCCCGCGUGGUCUAGCGGUUAUGAUUCCUGGCUUUCGCCCAAGUGGCCCGGGUUCGACUCCCGGCGCGGGAG